rnacentral:lncRNA from 1 species
CUGCAUUCUUUUUUUGUUUUUUGAGACGGAGUUUCGCUCUCGUCACCCAGAUUGGAGUGCAAUGGCGCCAUCUCGGGUUCAAGCGAUUCUCCUGCCUCAGCCUCCCAAGUAGCUGGGAUUACGGGCUCCUCCCACCACGCCCAGCUAAUUUUUUGUAUUUUUAGUAGAGACAGGGUUUCACCAUGCUGGCCAGGCUGGUCUCGAACUCCUGACCUCAGGUGAUCCGCCAACCUUGGCCUCCCAAAGUACUGGGAUUUUACAGGCAUGAGCCACCACGCCCAGCUGGACACCCCAUUCUUGGGGUCUGUAAAAAUACUUUCUUGGCCGGGUGUGGUAGCUCAUUCCUGUAAUCCUAGCACUUUGGGAGGCUAAGGAGGGUGGGUCACCUGAGAUCAGGAGUUCGAGACCAGCUGGCCAACAUGGUGAAAACCUGUCUCUACUAAAAAUACAAAAAUUAGCUGGGUGUGGUGGCACACGCCUGUAGUUUCAGCUACUCAGGAGGCUGAGGCAGGAAAAUCGCUUGAACUCGGGAGGCAGAGGUUGCAGUGAGCCAAGAUCGCACCAUUGCACUCCAGCCUGGGCAACAAGAGUGAAACUCCUUCUCAGUCUUGGUUACCUCUGGGGCUUGACGGGCCCUGUCCUGCCCCACCUCUCUCUACAGCCUCUGGCCAUUUAUUUUAGCUGCCCCUCCCCACACACCAGCCUCUCCAGGCCCCUGCAUCACAGUCAUCUUUCUAAAGCACAGUACAGCUCAGCCUGUUGAAGAACCUGCCUUGGCUCCUCGUUGCCCAGAAAUUCAAUGUAGACAUCCUUGGUAGGCAUUCAGGGUCCCUUCUGGUCUGGCCCACCCUGCCUUCCACGCCCAUCUCCCGCCAGUUCUACUCUCAGCAACUCCAUUGCCUCUCAGCUCCCACCAGGCCUCAUGUUCCACAUCCCUGGCCUUGCUCAAGUUAUUCUCCUUGUUUUGAGCGCUCGUCCUCCCCACUUUUCCACCUGGCAAAAUCCUCCUCAUUCUUAGGGACCCAGUUAGUUCCUCCAUGAAGACUUCCCCGGCAAACUGUGUCCCCCCACCCCAGGCUUCUGUCAUAAACCACUUGUCAUUAAUCACUUAACAGUUAUCACAUUUUGUCACAGCCAGCCAGUUCCUGUUCAGUGAGUAGAGGAAAGAAAACAUGGACUUUGUUACCAGACUAUAUGAUGGAAUCUCAGCUUGGCUACUCACCAGCUAUGCGACCCUGGGCAAGUUACUUAACCUCUGAGCUUUGGUUUUCUCAUCUACUAAAUGGGGAUAAUGCUCAUAUUUAACCCGGAUUCCUCACCAGGCCUGCAAAGCCUUGCCUGCCUCCUGUCUCCUGUUGCUCUCCACAUCUCACCCACAUCAACGUCCCUGCCCCUCCUUGAACAUUCUCAGUCCUUUCUUGCGUCCCUGCCUUUGCACCUGCCCUUCUCUACCUGGAAUGUUUCCUUCUCAUUCCAUUCUCCACCUCAUUUCCAAUGUCACCUCCUCAGAGAGGCCCUCUGCAACCACCUUCUCUAAAUCCCCCGCCUGGUUUUGCUUCAUCUUACUUUCUGUUUAUUUUCUUCUAGGGCUUAUCCCAACCUGAAAUUUCCCUACUUUCUGGCUUGCUUGUCAGCUCCGUGAGUGUGGGGCUCUUUUCUCUGGGAACUCAGAAGAUGAACAGACUUGAUACGUGUUAGUCCUGGCCUCUCCUCUUCCUCCAAGCCACACCUGCUCAUCUGUGAGCCCCUUCAGGGCAGGGCAUCAUGUCCUCCUCAUUUUUGCUUUCUUGACCCUGAGCAGUAUGCCUGGUCCAUAGUGAACCCUUAGCCUGUAUUUGCUGCCUGCCUGCCUGUCAUUGUCUUCCCCAACCUUUUCCCUUAGCAGCCCUUGGUGAUCUCCUGAUGGUUUCUAACACAUGCUGCAGGUUACAUGUGGAGCUGAGCCUGAUAUCUCCCAGAGUGGGAAUGUCCAGGGGUGGCCUCAUGUUUCUGCCACUUACUUUGCUUUCCAGCCCAGGACAGGAUUUUGAGUGGAGAGUUUGGGGUAUAUUACUGGCUGUAGCAUUAGGGACCUUGGCCACGCCCUUUGCAUUACCCUGCGUGGUAGGACAAUACCUAGAAUGGUCUGGUCAAACCCGAGAGACUUACAGAAGGUCAAGAGGACACAGCGAUGCUCAUAGGCCCCUCUCAGUGGGGAGAUUGGGCUGUGACUUGUUCAGGCGGAGUGGGGUCCACACAGUCUGAUGAAGCUUCAUUUGGUUCAGAGGAAAAUUGCUCUCUGAACACAGACCAUCCCUUCUUUUUUUUUUUUUUUUUUUUUUUGAGAUGGAGUUUUGCUCUUGUUGCCCAGGUUGGAGUGCAGUGGCAUGAUCUCGGCUCACCACAACCUCUGCCUCCUGGGUUCAAGUGAUUCUCCUGCCUCGGCCUCCCGAGUAGCUGGGAUUACAGGCAUGCGCCACCAUGGCUGGCUAAUUUUUUGUAAUUUUAGUAGAGACGGGGUUUCUCCGUGUUGGUCAGGCUGGUCUUGAACUCCUGAUCUCAGGUGACCCACCCUCCUUGGCCUCCCAAAGUGCUGGGGUUAUAGGUGUGAGCCACUGCGCCCGGACUCCAUCCCUUCUUAAGCUGACCCAGGGGUCUGGUAAUUGAGUGAGUGUGAUGGCUCAAUGUUACCCACCUCCUCUGGCAUCAGGAUGUAGGGACCAGUCCGUUGGUAUGCAGAGGUUGUGGUACCCAGCCUGGCAUCAGCGAUGCUGGGAAGAGGGAAUGCUGUUGCCUGUCUGCUGCUGUGGGAAUGACAGAGAGGGCUGGAAGGAGUGGCCUGGCAGGGAUGGACCCCAGGGCCCGUGCCUUCCUUGUGCUCACUGAGCAAAUGAAGCAGGAUUCACUCCCUGCUGGGAGAGGGAGAUUAGGGUUAGGGAGCACAGUGUUGUGCUCUCAGAUUUGAGGAUUUAUCAAUAAAAAUUCAAAAAGUCAUUUUGGGAACUGGCAUAAAGGUUCGUGGCAUCUUAUUUUGUCAAGUAAGGACACAGGAUAGGUAAAAAAUUAGUUUCCUACUAUUGUAUCCUAAAAAAUGAAUAUUUUAAUACCAAAAAUUGAAAACAAGAAUAGUUCUUCCCUAGAAAGGCCGAACAGCAUUCUUAUGCUGACAUUUUGAGCUAUGGACAGGGGAGAACAAGGUCAGAAACCAGCUCCUGGGAAUUGUUGGGUAAGGAGUUUGGAGAGCGUGUGCGUGUGAAGGGAGAUAGUGUUGAAGCAGGUUGCUGGCCUGGUGGCAUGAUUGGAGGGAAAGGGCCUGAAUAUUUCCUGGAUUAGUCCAGAAUAUUUCCUGGAUUAGUUUAGAAAUUCUUCAGUCCCCUCUAUCACUUAGGCUUCCUGUGGAUUAACUCGUUUUCUCUUUGAAAGUGUAAACAUCCCAUGGGCAGGGUCCAUCAGAGAACCUCGACAAGUGUUGCUCUGUGUACAACCUCCCGGGAGGGUGUCUGUACAGGUGAAAUCUGGCUGGGAUAAAUGUCAAGGACAUGUGUGGGGAAAGGAGAGGGAGGAAAGAAACCAACCCUUGCUGGUCCUUACUGUGUUCCUGCACUACACUUAGGGCUUUUUCAUGAGUUAACAAAGAGCUGCUGCUUAUCUCCAUUUUACAGAUGAGAAAACUGAGGCCCAGAAAGACUCAGUGAUUUGCCCAAGGUCACACAGCCAGUGUUGGAACCAGCAUUUACAUUCAGGCCUAUGUGAACUCAAGUUCAGAGCUUUUAUUUCUCCAGCAGGCCAAGGCACAAAAAAUUUUAAAAACAACUUGAGUCCCAUCUUCCUGUUGGCAUAGUGUCUGGCAGACAUCUUUUUGAUUCGUUCUGUCCAUCUGGAAACACUGUGGCUGACUCUGUGUUGGCAGCUCCCAGGCCCUUGGAGGGGAGGUUCAAAACUCACAUUUUUUUUUAACUUAAGAGAAUUCUGGCAGAGUACACAUAAAAGUUGCCAUUUUAACCAUUUUAAAAUGUUUUAUUUAUUUAGGAGACAGUCUCACU